CUCAUUUUUUUUUCUUCCUCUUAUCUUCUUCUUUCUUCUUUUUCUUUUCUCUUUCUUUGUUCUUCUUGCUCGUGUUUCUGAGAGAGGUUUGUGAGUUGUUAGUGAGAUUUGAUUGAUAAGAAUCAACUGAUGAAGAUGUAUAGAUGAUGGAGGAUUCGAAGUUGUUGUUGAUGAAGAAUAAAAGAUGAUUCAGAGAACCAAUUGGGGUUUUCUAUGAUUAUGAAUUGGGGUUUCGAAUUGGUGAUGAUUAAGAUGAAAUUGAAGAUGGGUUCGUUCUUAAUUGGGUUUGAUAUAAGUUGUGGGGUUGUUCUGAAGUUGAUUUGAGGAUCGAAUCAAGAGCUAGGGUUCAUAAGAAAAGUUCAGAGGAGAGUGUGAAGAUGAAGUUAAUGGUUAGGGGAUUGAAUUAAUGAUGGGUUUGUUCCGAAUCGAAGAAUAGGUGGAUGUAUUGGGUUUAAUUGCAGUUUCUGUAGGAAAUUGAAUCUGAAAUUAGGGUUUUUGAUAUAAUGGAGAUUUAGGGUUCUUGGGCUUGAAGUUUAGCUGGAGAAGAUGAAAUCGACGGUUUAGGGUUUUGAUGAAAUCAAGGUAGAAGUUUAAGCAGAGGGUGAAUCAUCCAUUUCAAUUUGGGAUUUAGUCCGAGAACAAAUAAGAGAUUGAAUUCAAUCUGGUUGAAAGAAGUUGCUUUGAGGUAAUUGUCCUUCUUUGCAAUUUUAGUAAGUUAUGAAGUUCUUUUGUUGGAUUUAGGAAAUUAUCAAUGAAGUGAGACUUGAGAACGGAUAUGGUGGGUAUGAGUGAAUCUGUAAUUAGGAAUUAAGAUGAAUGAUUGUAAUUAGGAAUUAAGAUGAAUGAUUGUAAUUAGGAAUUAAGAUGAAUGAUGUUACAGAAGCAAAGAAUUGUAGUUCUGAAAGAAACGUAGCUGAGCUGUGAUGGUUGUAUGAAUGUAAGAACUGUUACAGGUAUGGAUGAAUCUUCAGUAAAUACCAUUUUGGUGGUUGUGGUUGUGGCUGAAAUGCAGAUGAAUUUAGAGUUGAAGCAUUAGUAUUGGUGAAUAUAUGAUGGAGUGGUAAUUAUAAGUAAUGGGUGUGGUUGCAUUAUAAUUGGGAGAGAAGUGUAAAUAAAAUAGAAGUUGCGGUUAAGGUUUAGAUAAUUGAGUUUCAGAAUGAAGGUUAGAUGAAUAUGUUGAGUUGAAUCUCUUCAGUGAAAGCUUGGAACUGCUGAACUGCAGUUAGACUCUAUUAACAACGAUCGAUUCAAAGAAUGAACCAGUGGAUCGUGGAUCUCGAGGUAGGCGUGACUUGUCAUCAAAAGAGUUUCAGAGACAGAUCAGAGUUGCGCAGCGGAAACUUUGUGGCGUUAAGUUAUCUGCUAUGUUUAUUAUGUUGUAUAUUUUUAUUUGCAAACCAAAUGACUAUUGUAUAUGUAUCAUUUGAGAGGAGUUCUUGUAUAUAUAUAUUUCAGAACGGGGCUAGUUUUGGGUUAAGAUUUGUAGCAAAUUUCUUAAUUGAAUGCUUAAGUUUAUGAUUUA